rnacentral:rRNA from 1 species
AUUGAACGCUGGCGGCAUGCCUAACACAUGCAAGUCGAACGAGUGGCGGACGGGUGAGUAAUGUCUGGGAAACUGCCUGAUGGAGGGGGAUAACUACUGGAAACGGUAGCUAAUACCGCAUACCAUCGGAUGUGCCCCGAUGGGAUUAGCUAGUAGGUGGGGUAAAGGCUCACCUAGGCGACGAUGCCUAGCUGGUCUGAGAGGAUGACCAGCCAAACUGGAACUGAGACACGGUCCAGACUCCUAAGGGAGGCAGCAGUGGGGAAGAUUGCACAAGGGGCGAAAGCCUGAUGCAGCCAUGCCGCGUGUAUGAAGAAGGCCGUCGGGUUGUAAAGUACUUUCAGCGGGGAGGCGUUACCCGCAGAAGAAGCACCGGCUAACUCCGUGCCAGCAGCCGCGGUAAUAC